CUGUUCUGAGGUAGCCAGAGUCUGCCUGUUGCUUUGGGUUCCAGCCUGGGGCCAUGCUCAAAUUCUUUCUGCUCUAUAAGUAGAGACCUUGCCCACUGAGACCAGUGAGAUGGCUGUGAGCUGUUAGAGUUGCUUAGUCAGAAAGAGCUCACAAAUUCCUGGAGAAGAAUAUAUUUGCUUCUGUUUGGCCAAGGACACUCCAGGGAGAAAAGGCAUUAGAUCAUCACAGCAGACUCUCAUUGGCUGGCCAUUUACUUGGCAGUCACUUAGUUCUGAGUGUUCUGUGCAUCGUGGAGGCUUGUUCUGCUGCUUCAGUUUCUGGAUUCAAAGCCCCUGACGUCAUUAGGUUAUGGCCAGAAAGUCAGCAAGUGAGGUAACACAGUGAUGAGGGAUUUUGGAUGGUGGAAGGGGUGAGCCUUCUGCUGGCCCAGUCUGAGCACUGCCUUAAGCUCGGCAUGAGGAGUGUGAUGUCCUUGUCAACUUGGCCAGCCUUACAAUCCCCUAGAAGACACAUUCUGGUGGAGGUCUUCCAAGGGAAGUUUAACUGGAGAAGAGUGUAGCGACUCCAUCCCACAGACUAUGCUUUUGUAGUGACUGGAACCUGGAAAAGGAGAGAACCAGAUGACUGCCAGAGAACCUGUUACUGACUGAGCUGGCUCCAUCCCAACUCCCUCUCAAACAGUGAGACAAAAUAAAUCCUUCCCUUCUUUGCUUCUUCUCCUUCAGUUUGUUUUUGCUUUUUUUCACACGAGGUUUCUCUGUAUUGUCUUGGCUGUCCUGGAACUCCCUAUGGAGAGAAGACUGGCCUUGAACUCAGAUAUCUAUCUGCUUUUGCUUCUGGUGUGCUGGGAUUAAAGAUGUGCUUGGUCUCUCUGAGGCUUCUGUCAGAUUUUUUUGGUUUGUUUAUUUUAUUUUAUUUUUUGUUUGUUUUUGUCAGCAACGAGAGUAAUGAAUACAAGGACCCUUAGCUGUGACAAGGCUGCUGACAGAUGCCACUGGGUGUCUGUCAUAAUGGGCACUGCUGACUGCCUGGCCACAGUCAAGGAUCUACUUUUUUGAUGGGCCCAUCAUGGAUGACGGGCAUGCUCUGUGACAAAGACUUUGAUUCCCACCCAGCUUAGUUUGAUUUUUCUGAGUUAACCGUAGUGAUUCCGUUGUCCUGCUUGACUAUGUGUAAGGGACAGAAUGGCAUGGUUCCUGCCCCUUGAACAGAGCCAACAGAGCCCGGGCCUCCACAAGUGUUGAUGAUUGCUGUGGGCAUAGGCUUGUUUGAAUACCGAUACUUAUUUUCAUGUUCUUCCUUUGAGGAAUGUCCUCUCUGCCAAGGUUAAUGACUCCAUGAUAGAGACAGUACAAGUCCGGGAGGCAAGGGUGUGGCGAAUGUCUCAGCAAAGUGGAAGAAUGCUGUGACCUUCAGGAAAACCCUUAAGGCUCUGAGAAAGAACGCUGAAAACAUGAGUUCAAAAAUUUAUAAUUUUGGA
rnacentral:sRNA from 1 species